CCUACGGGAGGCAGCAGUGAGGAAUAUUGGUCAAUGGACGCAAGUCUGAACCAGCCAUGCCGCGUGCAGGAAGACGGCUCUAUGAGUUGUAAACUGCUUUUGUACGAGGGUAAACGCAGAUACGCGUAUCUGUCUGAAAGUAUCGUACGAAUAAGGAUCGGCUAACUCCGUGCCAGCAGCCGCGGUAAUACGGAGGAUUCAAGCGUUAUCCGGAUUUAUUGGGUUUAAAGGGUGCGUAGGCGGUCGGAUAAGUUAGAGGUGAAAUCCCGAGGCUCAACUUCGGAAUUGCUUCUGAUACUGUACGGCUAGAGAGUAGUUGCGGUAGGCGGAAUGUAUGGUGUAGCGGUGAAAUGCUUAGAGAUCAGAAAGAACACUGAUGGCGAAGGCAGCUUACCAAGCUACUUCUGACGUUGAGGCACGAAAGCGUGGGGAGCAAACAGGAUUAGAUACCCUAGUAGUC
rnacentral:rRNA from 1 species